UGUAUGUUGACGUAUUCUGAAAGGAUACUUCUUCGGACAAUAUACAAGGUGCUGCAUGGUUGUCGUCAGCUCGUGCCGUGAGGUGUCGGGUUAAGUCCAUAACGAGCGCACCCUAUCAUUAGUUGCCAUCAGGUCAAGCUGGGGACUCUAAUGAAACUGCCUACGCAAGUAGUGAGGAAGGUGGGGAUGACGUCAAAUCAGCACGGCCCUUACGUCCAGGGCUACACACGUGCUACAAUGGCCGGUACAAAGGGCAGCUACCUGGUGACAGGAUGCUAAUCUCAAAAGCCGGUCUCAGUUCGGAUCGAAGUCUGCAACUCGACUUCAUGAAACUGGAAUCGCUAGUAAUCGUGGAUCAGCCAAGCCGCGGUGAAUACGUUCCCGGGCCUU
rnacentral:rRNA from 1 species